GUUGGGCAUGGUGGCGCACACCUGUAGUCCCAGCAGCUGGGGAAGCUGAGGCAGGGGGAUCAUGAGUUCAAAGUCAGCCUCAGCAAAAGUGAGGUGCUAAGCAACUCCAUGAAACUCUGUUUCUA
rnacentral:sRNA from 1 species